GCUCCCGCUGGAGUGUAGUUUCCUCUAGUACCCCCGCCCCCCGCACCCGGUUGGCCGCUGGGAACUCGGUAGGGACGCCAGGUCUGGAUCAAGGUUUGCUGCGGUACUCCUCCUACCUAUACCUGGAGCAUGCCUUGGCUGGUUCUCAAUCCCAGAAUGCUGAGAGACACAUGUAGCAGAGCCACUGCAGCUGGCCCAGGAACCUGAAGUAAGAAGCAGAUCCAGCCAGGUAAGCCCAGCCUCAGUCCUAGCUGAGCCAACCCACAGACUCAUUGGAAAAAAAAAAAAAAAAAGAUUGUUCCUUUAAGCCACUGAGUCUUGGGGUCAUUUGUUAUUCAGAAAUAUUGUGCCAAAGUUAAUUAAUACAUUGCAAAAUAAAUGGUGGUGUGUUGAGAAGGAGGAGGAGAGUGGAGAUGGGCAUCCUUUUCUGGCUGUCUCCCUGGUUCUCCAUAAUCUAUGGAAAGGUAGCUAUCAGGCAAUGGCUGGCCUGCCUAGUGGUUGGCUGUCUUCCUUGAGUAGGUGAAAUUUGCUAGAAAAUUCAGAGCAAGUUCACUCAGUUUGAGGGGUGAGAAGCUAUUAUUUAUGGUUGAUAAUUCUUCAAAACCUGAAAAUAACUAAGCAAAACUUGGCCAUUGAUAUCAAUUUAUGAUUGCCUCUGCUUCUUUUAUUCUGAAAGAUCAUGUAAGCUCCUUCAUUUUUAAGGGUAAUUUCAAACAUUCUUUUGUCUAGUCCAGUGCUAGGUAAUACAGGAAUUUAGUAAAUUCUACUAAAGGACUAUGUUAAAAGUUCUUGGGUUGCAAGUCCUAAGUGUCAGAAUCUGGAUAAUCAGUUGAAUACUCAAACCUUUUUUCCAAACCACCUCCAAUUUCAACCAAAAGCUUCCUAAUUCCUUCUUGCCAAACUUUCUUACCCUCAGAAUAUUGGAUUAAUAGCAUGUGAUAUCUAAAGAUAGAUGAUGAUGUAGUGAAUGCCGAGAUUUUGAAUGAUAUAAUCUCACAGCACCAAUACCCCAGUUAGGAAAUCUAGGCACCUUUACUUACAGAGACUGAAGACUAAUUGCCUCAACAAGCAUACCCGAAAAUGUGUGAUUGAUUGGUAUCAAUGAGCAGUUUAAAUCUCUUAGGUCAAUGGUAUUUUUCCCAACUGUCCUCUCACUCUUAUCUCAGAAAAAUCUCUUUCUGUCAUACAGGAUUAUAAAGUUUAGGUGAUGACUAGAUACCCAAGGGGAAGUGUCCUGUCACACCACUUGGACUGCAUUGAAGACUUGCAUCUAGAAAAUAAAAUAAUAGUGAUGACGAUGAUGAUAACACCUAGACUAUUUGCUGAACUUAGGAUCAACAAGCACUGUGCUAAGUGUUUUAUUUGCCUUAUCUUAUUUAAACCACAUAACAAUUCUGAAGGAGUGAUUAUUAUUCACCCCAAGGAUGUUAAGUCACUUGCAGUUAACAAGUAGCUGACAUGAGAUUUGGACUCUGGCCCGUCAGACUCCUUGAUCAUUAUUCUUCACUACCUUGGCGGGAGGUGUUAGUUGAAAGCAUGGUUUUGGAUAUUCUCUUAAAAGACUAGGACAUUUUCCCCCCACUUACUUGUCUUUUCCACAAGUAAAGUGUAGUCUUAGCCUUCCUUUCUCCAGUUUUGUCUUGAUAGAACUCCAAAAACACUCGACAGCUUCCAUAUGUCAACUGGGUGACCCCUGUGUUUUUCUAUUUAUGUUUCCUCUUUCAAUUCAACUCAAGGGCCACAACACUGAAGCCUUCAAGCAGGAUGGGUUUAUGGAAGAAACAGAGAAAAAUCUAAUUUGUUACCAAGAACUUCGUAAGGCAACAGACAUAAAACUAUUGUGGCCUUACCCAAAUGAAUGCCUUACCUCUGUUGAGUUUUAUUAUAGCCAUUCAUUUAUAUAUGACUGAAACAAUAUGCUGUACAGCAGAAACUGACAAUACUGUAAAUCAAUUAUACAAAAUUAAUUUUUAAUUUUAUAAAAACCUAAUAAACCAAAAAAGAAAAUAAAUCUCACAUUUAAUUUGAUAAUUUCUUCUUUCUGAAAAUAAUAAAGUAUUCUCAAGACCUUACCUGAAGCUAAGGAGGGUAAAUCACUGUCUUAGUCACACCAAAGUUUUGUAGAAAAUUUACUCAAAUAGUUUUCAUGCGGCAAGCUAUUUAGAUCUUACUGAUGAGACAAAUCACACAAGUGUAAAAGAAAAGAAAACUUUUUUUAAAAAAAGACCAUGAGAAAAGCAUUAUUUUGUGCUAUUUAGAGAAGCUUGGGAGCUUUUCUUUUCCUUUGGUAAAUGCCACAAAGGAGAUGUUUCUCAUGAAAAUUUAACUGAUAGACAGAUUGUAACAUGAAGAAGGAUGGCCUCUGGGAAUACUUAUGGGAGAGAGCUUGGAGCCAGGACCAGUAAUUAUGAGACACCAAGGAAAAAAGCAGAGGUUGCAUAGAUGUAAAAUAUUCAAAAAAUGAUCAUGGAAAAUGAGAAGAAGAGAAAGAGCAAAUGCUUUAAAUAAAAGCAGUUCUCAUUAUAUAAAACCUGACAACAUUCACAUCUGGUAUAACAGAAAAUAUACUUGAUUUGAAUGUAUCCUUGAAAUAUAUUGAAGAAAAAUUGGAUACAUGCAUAAAACUAUGUUGGACAGAGAGAACUGGAAUUUGAAUCUUGGACCUACAUUUCCAAUUUGAGUGACCUUGAGCAAUUUUCUACAGCUUCAAAUUUAUUACUUGCAAAAUGGAACUCAUGAAAUAACAUAUGCAGACAUGCAUAACAUAUAUAGUAAGUGUUUAAAAUGUAUUAAUUGAAUCUAAAUAAUACAACCAGUUCUACACUAGAGGCAAGCGUGCCUAUUAUGGCCAAUAGAACUUGAAACAUAAGGCUCAGACCUCAGAUUUCUCAGGACCAAUCACUUGACAAGUAUCAGGAAAUAUGAUAGAUUUCUAUUAUUAUAGAUAGAGCUGAAAUACAUGGAGUGAGGCACUGAGUGUUAAAGGGAAUGAGUGUUAGGUUGUAGGAGUGAAGAAUAAAAAGACCUAGUGGAUGCAAAUUCUCUCAAUCAAAUUUAAGCUUCAGAUACAUGUGACUGAGUGACACCACAAUAAGAACAAGAUUUAGGGUCAGAUUUGCUUUCAGAUCUUGACUUUGCUUGUGUGACUUUUGUCUAGCAUUUCCAACCCUCAGAUUCCCAAUCCAUAGAAUGAGAACAAAAAUACUUACUUUUUGAUGCCUUUUAAGGAUUACAGAUGGUUUAUGAAAAAUGCCUAGCAGUUGGUAUAUAUAUGAUACAGGGAAGCUAUUGUUACUUAAAAGGCCAUGGCUCCUUCAGAGCAGAAACUGAACUUCAUGAAUCUUUAUAUCUUUCAUUGUGCUAAACACAAUGCCUGUCAUAUAUUAGGUAUAAUAAAUCUUCAUUGCAUGGAUGAAUAACCAAAACAUGCUCAUGCCUUUUGCACUAAUUGCCAUCAGAUGGAGCUUUUGCCUAAUUUGAGAGGUUUGUUUUGCCUUUAAAAGACCAACAGCAUCACCUUUGACUUCAUAUCAUAUCUCCAAAACAGAAGAAGUACAAUAGACAUAAAUUGACUGUCUGGGGUGCUUCCCUAUUAGCAGCACAUUCAGAUUCCACCUAAAUGAUUGGUUAUACUUCUGGUUUUAGACUCAGUCCUGUAUUCAUUUCCCAGCUCCACCAUGUCUGACAAGUCACUUUGGUAAAAGUUAGUUACCCCUUUGAACUUAAUUUCCUCAUUCAUAAAUAAUGACCUUAAUCGAUGUAAAAAUUAAAUGAGACAGCAUAUGUAUAAUGCCAGACAUAUAAUAGGCAGCACAAAAUUUGAAACUGAACAUAUGACUCCAAAGUUCAGGCUCCUUAUAUUACGUUUGAUUUCCAAAGGAUUUUAGGCUCCUUAAAGAAAGGAACUAUGUCUUACUCAGAAACACUUUGCAUAUAACUUGGUGCCAAGCAUAAUGCAGGGCGAAGAGUAGUAUGUAAUCAAUACUUAUGGGGCUGAAUUGCUUCCAACUGUUAGCCAUACUCUAAGUGAAUCAAGAACAUUUCUUUAGGAAAAUGUGCCUUUGGACACAAGGAACCAUAAUUGAUUCACAAAAACAAGGAAUACCAAGGAAAAUUUCUUUCCCUUCUUAAAGUUAUUAGACUGGUUGUUUGGAGGAAAAGAAAAAUAUAGACAUCACAUCCUUUCAUUUUAAUACAUCUUUAGGCAGUUAAACACUUGAUACUUUUACAUGCAAGUAAUAGAAAACCCAAAUCAAAUUGACUACAAAAGUAAGCUUAUUGUCUUAUAUGCUUGGAAGUGUGUGUCAGAAUUGGUUGAUCCAGCAGUUCAACAAUGUGAUCAAAGAUCCAGCUAUUUUCUGUCUCUCUAUUUUGAUAACAGUGUCAGCUUUAUACUGGAUGUAAGUUGUUCAGUAGUAGAAAAUAGGAUACGUGAUUAAUUUCUGGAAAGAGAAAAUCAAAGAGAACAUGUCACUCCCAAGCAUCGUACUUAAUUUUCUCUUCACAGUGUUCCUAGUUCUUAAGCAGUAAUUGUCAUCAGUGAAAUGCAGUGCAUUGAUAAGCUUAGGUUAGGGAUCCUGGCAAGGGAUAUGGUAGUAUGAUUGGAGUUAAGGUCAAUUCCUCAAACAUUAUUGCUUCUACAAAGUGGUGGGAGUAAAAUGGAGAAAGAAGGAAGGGGAUUCAGUUACCAUGUCCCCAGAAAACAUUAUUAUGUUUACCAAGAAGAUGUAAAAGUUUGGCCUGGAUGACAGAGUUGAGUUGAUUAGUAGCUGAUUAAGUAGCUACAUGGUUAACAAAUUAGAGAGAGAAGUGACAUGUCACAUACUCCACAAAUUUCCCCUUAUAUUACAUUGUCAGCUCAGAUUGGGUUAGGUUUUUCUCUACUGUGCUUUUGAAAAAAAUAGGUGUCAUUUCAUGUACAUACAGUAUAUUAAUUAUAUAAGUAUAUUCCAAUCCAACUGUGAAGUUGUUGAAAGCAGGAACUGUGUCUUACCCAUCUUUCCAGCCUCAAGACAGCACAGAAGCUGGCAAAUAUAAAAAGCUCUAUUUUCAAAUAUUAGUUAAAGAGCAAACAAUGGGUAAAAUUUCAGGAAGGGAGAUUUCAAAUCCUCACGUGGUGAAAAAAAAAACUUCCUUAUAAGAAAUGUAUUAUAUAAAUUACUAAUAAUCAUCAAUAAUUUAACCAUAAAGAAGAUUAAAGUUGAAUUAAAAUGCAUUUGAAGUCCCUUUUUAGUCUGGAAUUUGAUGAUUUUCUGAGUUCACUGAUGGAGAUCACAAUAUAUACUCCAUGAUUAUGGCCCAGAUGGGACCCAAAGAGAAAUCAGGACAUUCUGGGUGGUUGGAAGUUGCUCGAGUCAACUGUUUGAUUCAUGAAAAUUCAAACGUUUUUCCAGGGCCAUGAUUUCUAAGAAGGGAGAACAUUCCAUUCUUCAUGCCAGCUGUGAUGCCCAGUUCUUGCUGAUUGUCAUCUGAUAUGGACUUGGCAUUCUCUACCUGGUUAUGGGCCAGAUGCCAAAAAUAAAUAAAUAAAUAAAUAACCAAAACUGAAGGAAGCUCAUGAACCAACAUAGUGCCAGAAAUGGGGGAGGAAGCUUCUUUUUCUUUUUUGUCUUUUUAGGGCCACAUCCUUGGCCCCACACGUGAGGUGAUUCAGAGCUGCACCAGCUGGCCUAUACCACAACCACAGAAGCACCAGAUCUGAGCCAUAUCUGUGACCUACAUUGUGGCUCGUGGCAACACUGCCAGAUCCUUAACCCACUGAGUGGUGAGGCUAAGGAUCGAAACCAUGUCCUCGUGUAUACUAGUUGUGUUUGUUACCACUGACACAGAGUGGGAACUCUGGGGGAGGAAUUUCUUAACAGCUGGAGUAAUCAUUAGCUCAGACAAUCUCUGUUUUGUUUUGUUUGUUUAAAACAUGAUUUUUUAAGAUAAAUACUGUUGGAAUAUACUUAACUUACAAUCUUAUAUUGCUUUCAGGCAUACAGUACAGUAAAUCAGUUAUACAUAAUAUCCAUUCCUUUUCAGAUUAUUUUCCUAUAUAAAUUACUACAUAGUACUGAGUAAAUUGCUCUGUGCUAUAGAGUAGGUUCUUGUUACCUAUCUAUUUUAAAUAUAGUAGUGUAUACAUGUCAAUCCCAACCCCCUAGUUUAUCCCUCCUCCUAUGUUUCCCCUUUGGUAACUAUAAAUUUGGUUUCAAAUUCUUUGAUUAUGUUUCUGUUCUCUAAGGUCUUUGGUAUCAUUUUUAUUAUAUUCCACAUGUUGGUGUUCUCAUGAUAUUUGUCUUUCUCUGUCUUACUUCAUUUAGCAUGAUAAUCUCUAGGUCCAUACAUGUUGCUUCAAAUGUCAUUAUUUCAUUUUUUAUAGCUGAGUAGUAUCCCAUUGUAUAUAUGUACCACAUCUUCCUUAUCCAAUCCUCUGUCAAUGGACAUUUAGGUUGCUUCUGUCUUGACUACUGUAAAUAGUGCUGUGAAGUAUAUUGGGGUGCCUGUAUCUUUUCAAAUUGUGGUUUUCUCCAGAUAGAUACCUAGGAGUAGGAUUGCUGGAUCAUAGGGUAUUUCUAUAUUUACUUUUUAAAAUAAAUCUCCAUACCGUUCUUCACCAGGGUAGGAGGGUUCCCUUUUUUCCAUACCUUCUCCAGCAUUUUUUGUUUGUAGACUUUUUGAUGAUGACCAUUCUGACUGGUGAGGGUACCUCAUUAUAGUUUUGAUUUGCAUUUCUUUAGUAAUUAGUGAUAUUGUAGCUCAAACAGUAUUUAAGAAAAAGAAAAAA
rnacentral:lncRNA from 1 species